AUACGGAGGGUGCAAGCGUUACUCGGAAUUACUGGGCGUAAAGGACGCGUAGGCGGUUUAGAAAGUCAGAUGUGAAAGCCUAUGGCUUAACCAUAGAACUGCAUCUGAAACUCCUAGACUAGAGUGAGGGAGAGGUCAGUGGAAUUAGUGGUGUAGGGGUAAAAUCCGUAGAGAUCUCUAGGAAUACUCAUAGCGAAGGCGACUGACUGGAACUUUACUGACGCUGAGGCGUGAAAGCGUGGGGAGCAAACAGGAUUAGAAACCCCAGUAGUCC
rnacentral:rRNA from 1 species